rnacentral:rRNA from 1 species
ACCUACGGGGCGCAGCAGUAGGGAAUUUUCGUCAAUGGGCGCAAGCCUGAACGAGCAAUGCCGCGUGAACGAGGAAGGUCUUCGGAUUGUAAACUGUUGUCGCAGGGGAAGAAGACAGUGACGGUACCCUGUGAGAAAGUCACGGCUAACUACGUGCCAGCAGCCGCGGUAAUACGUAGGUGACAAGCGUUGUCCGGAUUUACUGGGUGUAAAGGGCGCGUAGGCGGGAUAGCAAGUCAGUCGUGAAAUGCCGAGGCUUAACCUCGGAGCUGCGAUUGAAACUGUUAUUCUUGAGUAUCGGAGAG